rnacentral:SRP_RNA from 2 species
GCCGAGCUGGGUAACGUCAGCUUGUAACCCGAGUGGGGGUAACAAGGUGAUUGAACAAGGCUAUGGCCAGCUAAGCUGGUCUGGAGGCUGCAACUUGCUGGCCUGCCCACUCCAAGUUAGGAGUUGAGCCAUGGGACCUUUGCGAAGGCAUGGAUUUCCUGGUUCCUAGAUAGGAGGGCACAGCGUGAGGCUGGUUUCACAGAACAGCGACCACCUCCAGCUCUUUACAGUGGAGGGAUAACAGGCUGCUGCACCUCCAUUCCUAAUCAAGCUUGGUGAGCUCUUGCUCUUGAACUAUCACCUUU